CUUUCACUGUAGCUUCAGUGCUUUCUUCACAGAAGUAUUAUGCAUGCUAAAGUAAGUUGUCUAGAUAUUUGUAUUUUUCUCUUAUGUAAAGUCUAUCUUUAAUUAUGAUUCCCAGUUUAUAUUAGUGUGAAAAAGAUUAUUUUGAUGUUAAUUUUGUAUCCAAAGUUCUAAACUUCCCCCAGUUUUCUAGUAGUGUUGUUGUUGAUCUGUUUGGUUUUUAGAUAAUCAUAUCACCUGACAAAAAUAACAGUUUAAAAUUUUUAUUUCCUUAUAGCAUUGGGCAACACCACCAGUCUUUAUUCAAGAGUAUGGCAAAAAUGUGUACUUUGUAGUAUUCCUGAUUUUUAAAAGAAGUCAUCGGAGGUUACUUCAGAACCAUCUUUGAAUUCCUAAACUGUACGAUUGACACUACAUUUGGUAAGUUAAUAUUUCAUGAGAAUUUUUGCAUGUAUGUUCAUGAAUAAAAUGGUCCACUAACAUUCUUUUUAUAUAGUUUGACUAUAAUAUGGUUAAUGAAUUAAGAUUAAAUAAAUUAUAAAAUGACCCACGAAG
rnacentral:lncRNA from 10 species